rnacentral:rRNA from 1 species
AGAGUUUGAUCAUAGCUCAGGAUAAACGCUAGCGGUGCGCCUAACACAUGCAAGUCGAGCGGAGUUUCAGGAAGCUUGCUUUCUGAAACUUAGCGGCAAACGGGUGCGUAACACGUUGAUAUCUCCCCCGAAGUCAGGAAUAACUCUACGAAAGUAGGGCUAAUACCGGAUAGUCUCGAAAGAGUAAAGUAGCAAUACGCUUCGGGAAGAGUCUGCGGCCUAUCAGCUAGUUGGCGGGGUAAAAGCCCACCAAGGCUAUGACGGGUAGCUGGUCUGAGAGGACGAUCAGCCACAAUGGAACUGAGACACGGUCCAUACUCCUACGGGAGGCAGCAGUGAGGAAUCUUCCACAAUGGGCGAAAGCCUGAUGGAGCGACACCGCGUGAAGGAUGAAGCCUUUGUUGGUGUAAACUUCUUUUUUCUCCGAAGAUAAUGACGGUAGGAGAAGAAUAAGGGGCGGCAAACUAUGUGCCAGCAGCCGCGGUGAUACAUAGGCCCCAAGCGUUAUCCAGAAUUACUGGGCGUAAAGCGUCCGCAGGUUGUUUGGAAAGUCUCGGAUGAAAGGAUAGAGCUCAACUCUAUUUUGUGCGGGAAACUUCCAAACUUGAGUAUGGGAGAGGUAAGCGGAACGGUAUGAGUAGGAGUGCAAUCCAUUGAUACAUACCAGAACACCAAAAGCGAAGGCAGCUUACUGGAACAUUACUGACACUCAUGGACGAAAGCGUGGGGAGCGAAAGGGAUUAGAUACCCCUGUAGUCCACGCCCUAAACGAUGGAUGCUAAGUGUCGGGGACAAAGUUCGUUAUCUAUAACUGAUUUUGUCCCCGGUGCUUCAAGCUAACGCAUUAAGCAUCCCGCCUGAGAAGUACGACCGCAAGGUUAAAACUCAAAUGAAUAGACGGGGACCCACACAAGCAGUGGAUCAUGGGGUUUAAUUCGACAAUAAACGAGGAACCUCACCUAGGCUUGACAUUGAUAGAAUCCUGCAGAAAUGCGGGAGUGCCCGUAAGGGAACUUGAAAACAGGUGUUGCAUGGUUGUCGUCAGCUCGUGCCUUGAGGUGUUCGGUUAAGUCCGUUAACGAGCGUAACCCACGUUGUAUGUUACUUUUUCAUACAAGACUGCUUGAGUUAAUCAAGAGGAAGGUGUGGAUGACGUCAAAUCAGCAUGACCCUUAUGCCUAGGGCUACACCCAUGAUACAAUGGUCGGUACAAAGAGUAGCAACAUCGCGAGAUGAAGCCAAUCUCAUAAAGCCGAUCUCAGUCCAGAUUGGAGGCUGCAACUCGCCUCCAUGAAGUUGGAAUUGCUAGUAAUCGUGAAUCAGACAUGUCACGGUGAAUCCGUUCCUGGGUCUUGUACUCACCGCCCGUCAAAGCAUGGGAGGUGUCUGUACUGGAAGCCCUUCGAGUAAUACGGAGGUCCAUGGUAAAGACACUGACUGGGCUUAAGUCGUAACAAGGUAUCCGUACGAGAACGUGCGGAUG